rnacentral:rRNA from 1 species
UACGAGUGCUCCAAGCGUUAUCCGGAAUCAUUGGGCGUAAAGGGUGUGUAGGUGGUUGUGUUAGUCUUGUGUUAAAUUCUUCGGCUUAACCGGGGGCAUGCACGGGAAACGGCACAACUAGAGGAUGCGAGAGGUACAUGGAACUCAUGGAGUAGGGGUGAAAUCCGUUGAUAUCAUGGGGAACACCGAAUGCGAAGGCAAUGUACUGGCGCACUCCUGACACUGAGACACGAAAGCGUAGGUAGCGAAUGGG